rnacentral:rRNA from 1 species
UACAGAGGUCUCAAGCGUUGUUCGGAUUCAUUGGGCGUAAAGGGUGCGUAGGUGGCGCCGUAAGUCAGGUGUGAAAUUUCGGAGCUUAACUCCGAAAACUGCAUUUGAUACUGCGGUGCUUGAGGACUGGAGAGGAGACUGGAAUUUACGGUGUAGCAGUGAAAUGCGUAGAGAUCGUAAGGAAGACCAGUGGCGAAGGCGGGUCUCUGGACA